rnacentral:lncRNA from 1 species
AUGGUUGUUCAACCCCAUGCCUUGCAAGGGGCUCCUGAUACAAAUUCAUCUCUAAUUCUGCACAACACAGUAUCUUUCCUUGCCCAUGAAGAAACUGAGGCUCAGAGAGUUAUUCACCCAAGGUCACACAGUUCAAAAAGGUACAGUGGAUUUCAAAACGACCCUCUCUCCUUCAGCUACCUCUCAGGUGCCACUCAGAUUUCUGGAGAGAAGAAGAGAAGUUGCUAUAGGAUCACAGAACGCUUGAAGCCAAAGGAGAUCACCCAAGGUCCUUGGCUGUCUCUGGCAAACCUUUCUGGCCCCGGAACAGGUUCCAAGACAGAGUUGUGUGCAGGGCCCGCCUGUAAAGCUCAUCCCUAUGAAGGGAAGUUUUUAGCAACCACCACCCAUCCCUUCCUACAUACUUCCGGUGCUCUGGGACAUCAAAGGUUCAAGGGAGUGGGCAGAGCGAGAGGGGAAGAAGCCAAGAGACAGCAUGUGUAAGUGAGGCCAGGUCUCUGGGUGGGUGGGGAGCACCAGUGAUGGAAGAGGGAGGGAGAGGAAGGCAGGAGAUUUGUUCUAUGACAGCCUGCAAGAGUCCAGCGUAGGGAAGGAUGUGAGGGGUAAGAAACCCGGGGAGAGCAAGAGGGGUUAGGCACAGUUUUCAUGAGGGGAGGGAGGAGACAGGACUUAGGACGACAAAAUGAAAGGGGAAGAAGCAGAAGCAAAACGUUGUUCGCUCUCUUCUCCCUGUCCCCAUCACACACACACACACACACACACACACACACACACACACACACACACCCAUUGGCUGUGGUUGUUACCUCCGUGGUGCUGGAGAAGAAAGGUUCCCCCCAGUGUGGAGGUGAAGACUUCGUGGAGGCCCCUACUCUGUCACGAACAACCGUGCGCUCCUAGGGGAAGUCUUUACCUCUUUGGGCCUUGAUUUACUCCUCGGGAAGGAGGCUUUAUUAAGGUCUCUAAGGUUGAACAAGGUCGUGGUGGGUUUGAUGGGGGGCAGCGUGGAGAGUCGGAAGUCUGGGUUUAAGGCUCAACUUUUUUUUAAAGCUUAUUUAUUUAUUUUGAGAAAGAAAGAGGGAGAAAGAGAGAAUCCCAAGCAGUCUCUGCACUGUCAGCACGGAGCCCGAUGAGGGGCUCGAACCCACGCACCGCGAGAUCAUGACCUGAGCCUAAACCAAGAGUCGGACGCUUAACUGACUGAGCCCACACAGGCGCCCCUGAGUCUCAACUUAAAGUGAGCAUCUAUGUGAUCUUGGGUGAGUCUCUGAGCCUCAGUGUCUGCAUCUGUGAAAUGGGGAUGAGGAUGUUGACCCUACUUACGUGCUUGUGGGGAAGAUUCAUUGAGAUAACGUACAUGAAAAACACUUAAUAAACUGCCACCGUUUGUACA